rnacentral:rRNA from 1 species
ACUCCUACGGGAGGCAGCAGUCUAGAGGCUUCGGCAAUGGGGGCAACCCUGACCGAGCGACGCCGCGUGCGGGAUUAAAUGUCGUGAGAUUGUAAACCGCUUUCGGCGGGGAAGAAUGCCCGAAUGGUGAAUUCGGGAGUGACGGUACCCGCAGAAGAAGCCCCGGCCAACUCCGUGCCAGCAGCCGCGGUAAUACA